GCAGGACUCUUUCAUACUUGACUUGGGAAGAUUUUUCACUGGCUAUGAAAUUGGAGUUAUAUAAUCAAAUAAUCAACCCAUUAAUUAAGCCAGUUAUGAGAACAUUUUCAAAAAGUGGAUACCUGAGCUGAGACAUUAUGCUCCAAAUGUACCUAUUGUGCUGGUUGGAACAAAACUGGAUUUGAGGGAAGACAAGCAAUUUUUCAUUGAUCAUCUUGGAGCUACAAGAAUAACUACUGCUCAGG